rnacentral:rRNA from 1 species
AUUGAACGCUGGCGGCAGGCCUAGCACAUGCAAGUCGAACGGUAACAGGAAGCAGCUUGCUGCUUUGCUGACGAGUGGCGGACGGGUGAGUAAUGUCUGGGAAACUGCCCGAUGGAGGGGGAUAACUACUGGAAACGGUAGCUAAUACCGCAUAAUGUCGCAAGACCAAAGAGGGGGACCUUCGGGCCUCUUGCCAUCGGAUGUGCCCAGAUGGGAUUAGCUUGUUGGUGAGGUAACGGCUCACCAAGGCGACGAUCCCUAGCUGGUCUGAGAGGAUGACAGGCCACACUGGAAAUGAGACACGGUCCAGACUCAUACGGGAGGGAGCAGUGGGGAAUAUUGCACAAUGGGCGCAAGCCUGAUGCAGCCAUGCCGCGUGUAUGAAGAAGGCCUUCGGGUUGUAAAGUACUUUCAGCGGGGAGGAAGGGGUUAAGGUUAAUAACCUUAGCCAUUGACGUUACCCGCAGAAGAAGCACCGGCUAACUCCGUGCCAGCCGCCGCGGUAA